rnacentral:rRNA from 1 species
UACGUAGGGUGCGAGCGUUGUUCGGAAUUAUUGGGCGUAAAGAGCUUGUAGGCGGUUUGUCGCGUCUGCUGUGAAAAUCCGGGGCUCAACCCCGGACUUGCAGUGGGUACGGGCAGACUAGAGUGUGGUAGGGGAGACUGGAAUUCCUGGUGUAGCGGUGAAAUGCGCAGAUAUCGGGAGGAACACCAGUAGCGAAGGCGGCACUCUGGGCCGGUACUGACGCUGAGGAGCGAAAGCGUGGGGAGCAAACAGG